rnacentral:tRNA from 1 species
CGGGGCGUGGCGCAGUUUGGUAGCGUGCUUGCAUGGGGUGCAAGAGGUCGUGGGUUCAAGUCCCGCCGCCCCGA